rnacentral:misc_RNA from 1 species
GAUGAAGAACGCAGCGAAAUGCGAUAAGUAAUGUGAAUUGCAGAAUUCAGUGAAUCAUCGAAUCUUUGAACGCACAUUGCGCCCUCUGGUAUUCCGGGGGGCAUGCCUGUUCGAGCGUCAUUAUAACCACUCAAGCUCUCGCUUGGUAUUGGGGUUCGCGGUUUCGCGGCCCCUAAAAUCAGUGGCGGUGCCUGUCGGCUCUACGCGUAGUAAUACUUCUCGCGAUUGAGUUCGAUAGGUCUACUUGCCAGUAACCCCCAAUUUUUACAGGUUGACCUCGGAUCAGGUAGGGAUACCCGCUGAACUUAAGUAUAUCAAUAAGCGGAGGA